AUCUACCUGACGUGUCUCAAAUAGGACGAAACGCGCGUCCUCGAU
rnacentral:hammerhead_ribozyme from 1 species